UCCCUGAUAGCUCAGUUGGUAAAGAAUUUGCCUGCAAUGCAGGAGACCCUGGUUCAAUUCAUGGGUAGGGAA
rfam:TPA: Bos taurus chromosome 1, whole genome shotgun sequence.